rnacentral:rRNA from 1 species
CAGUAGCCGCGGGAAUACGAAGGUCCCAAGCGUUGUUCGGAAUCACUGGGCGUAAAGGGAGCGUAGGCGGCGUGGUAAGUCAGAUGUGAAAUCCCGGGGCUCAACCCCGGAACUGCAUCCGAUACUGCCAUGCUUGAGGGUCGGAGAGGUGACUGGAAUUCUCGGUGUAGCAGUGAAAUGCGUGGAUAUCGAGAGGAACACUCGUGGCGAAGGCGAGUCACUGGACAACAUCUGACGCUGAGGCUCGAAGGCUAGGGUAGCGAAAGGGAUUAGAUCCCCUGUAGUCCCUGUCUCUUAUACA